rnacentral:lncRNA from 1 species
GGACAGGAGAUAGCAAACGCGUUAGAGUUCAAUAAUUUUUCAAGACCCUUUUUUUUUCUUGAAAAGAUCACUGAACCCAAAAAGGGCGUCUACAUAUCUCACCCCAAAAAGGAGAGAAUCAAGUGUGUGUAGUUCGUGAAGUCUUGCCAAAAUGGCCAAAUAAAUUCUUUUUCUAUUCCUUGAAACUUUAAGAAGAAAAGAAAAUAACAAUUUGUCAAAAGAAUUGAUGAAAAUCUUUUUGAAUUUUUCAGCUUUACAUCCCUAUACAAAAUGAAAUCUAUGAUUACCAAAGAAAAAUCUUUUUUGGAUUUUCAAUUUUGAAUUUCAUAUGAAA